AAUGAUCCACCUGUCUCAGUCUCUCAAAGUGCCGGGAUUACAGGCAUGAACCACUGCGCUUGGCCAAGACCAGCUUAAGCUUAUUUGUCCUUGUUUUUGUGUGUCCUUCUUAUUAUAAGCAUCGGUACUUCUAUUUUUAUUUUCCAUUCCACCUUUAUGAUGGCAUAGGAAGAAAUGCUUUAUAAAAGCCAAUGAACAAGAAAAACAUCCAAAUAAUGACGGAGGCUCUGCUUUAUGGACAAAGAGGAUGACAUUCUGAAAGGAAGUCAUUGGUCAGAAGAUCAUGUGAAAUGAAGUUGCUCAGAAUAUUGAAUGCCACAUACUAUAUGAAUGUCUGAAUUUGACAGAUGGGAGGUGACUUACAGUUGUCAAUAAAUAAUAUAUAAAAGUAUAGUUUGUAUGAAAGUCAAACUUUGGAAAACUUCAGUUUAAAUUUUACAUUUGCAUUUUACCACAGUAAGUCUAGAUUUGGUUGUACGUCCAGAGGAAAAAAAGUUACAAAUACCCCCUCUAGAUUAUCUUGAAUGACUCUGCUGUCGACUUUAAGGUCCAGUUGUGGUGCUAUUCCUGACUUAAUGUCUGCAGAACGCUGCAGGCUAUGGCCAUCGUGGGCUGGCCUGCAUUAAAAGAGGCUGGAGAUCGUGAAUUGGUUAAUGCAGAGAGGUGGGUGGAUGAGAGCUCCUUAAAAGCACCUUUCCAAAUUCACAUCGCGGGUCAAGUGACAAUGUGAAGGGGUGAUUGUAUUAUCUUUAGUACUUGUUUACUCUUUCUGAGGUGAAAGAACAGGAGCAACCGCCUGGAUUCACUUUAAAAAAUGAUGGUAGCUAUCAGGUUCUCUUAGAAUUCCUAUGAGCCUUCCCAUCCAAGCAAUAUGUCCUUCCUACUGAGUGCUUAUUUGAAAAGCUCAGCGAGGAAAAUCUUUUUGAACUUUUUUUUUUUUUCAGCUGAAUGAGAACAUCUGAAAGUCCAUCUCUGAUUUUCUUUCAUCGACACUAACUCAGUUUGACAGUCGGUACCCAAUAGAACUAUAUAUCACAACAUGAACUAGAGUUGGCCAGGCAUUUAAAUGCUCACCAGCCCUGAACUCACAAGGCCGUUUUUAACCUCUAGCUUGUUUGUAGAUUGCUGUUCAAGACACUGAGGAUACAUGGUUCCCGCUUUUGAGCAAUUUAUCUUCUAGUGAGGAAUAGGCAUGUGUACAUCCCAACAUACUCUGUGAGUGCUGUGUUAUAAAGAGGAAUGAGGUUGAGGAAGAAAGGACACCACAAACAUCCCAAUGGCUUGGAAUAAAAUGCAAACUCCUUCUUUAGCAUCCGAGGCCCACAUCAGUGAUUUUCCUCUUUGGCUGAAGGUCAGAAUCCAACUCGCGAACUCCAGAAUCUGAUUCCUAAACUCCAUCCCCAGAAAUUCUGGUUUAUUCCAUG